UGUAUUUAUUAGAUACAAAACCAAUGCCCUUCGGGGCUCCUUUGGUGAUUCAUGAUAACUUCUCGAAUCGCACGGCCCCGCGCCGGCGAUGGUUCAUUCAAAUUUCUUCCCUAUCAACUUUCGAUGCUACGGUAGUGUCCUAGCAUGGUUGCAACGGGUGACGGAGGGUUAGGGCUCGACCCCGGAGAAGGAGCCUGAGAAACGGCUACUACAUCCAAGGAAGGCAGCAGGCGCGCAAAUUACCCAAUCCCGAUACGGGGAGGUAGUGACGAUAAAUACCGAUACAGGGCUCUUUAGGGUCCUGUAAUUGGAAUGAGUACAAUUCAAAUCCCUUAACGAGGAACAAUUGGAGGGCAAGUCUGGUGCCAGCAGCCGCGGUAAUUCCAGCUCCAAUAGCGUAUAUUAAAGUUGUUGCAGUUAAAAAGCUCGUAGUUGAAACUUGGGCCUGGCUGGCGGGUCCGCCUCACCGCGUGCACUCGUCCGGCCGGGCCUUCCUUCUGAAGAACCUCAUGCCCUUCACUGGGCGUGCUGGGGAACCAGG
rnacentral:rRNA from 1 species